GAAUUGCUGAGUGGAAGGGUACAUGCAUACGUGGUUUUGUUAGAUGUUGCUGAGUUCAUCUCCACAGGGGUUGUGCCGUAUCACAGUCCCACCUGCAAUGUACCAGAGAGCCUUUUUCCUUAGCCUCACCAACAGCUGGCCUCCUUGUACAGAUCUACUUUCUGGACUCAUGUACCCACACAAGCCUGCCUUUGGAAUGGUAGAGAGUUGACUGUGCUAUCAUGUUUGAAUCUUCAGGGAAGGUCUAUUCGGCUGGCCAUGAGACAUGAGAAAGGCUGCCUUUACCUUUGCGACAUCAUAAUCUUCUCAUGGGCAUUGGCCACUUGACAGUCUAAAAAUAUGAUUUGCAAUGGAGGCAUUUGGUGGAGGUGAUGUUAGCUCUGCCUUUGGAGGAACUAGAGAAUCAUGUCAGCCACAUGGGCAGUAGUGAUUGAGCUGCAAUAAAAACUCUGGCCACUGAGGCUCAGGUGAGCAUCCCUGCUUGGCAAUAUUCCAUGCAUAUUGUCACACAUCAUGGCUGGGAGGAGGUACCACUGUCCAUGACUCCAUGAAAAGAG